GAGGGAGUGUUGUAAAGUUGUUAAUGUGGCCUCUGAAGCCAGGCUACCUGGGUUCAAAUCCCAACUCUAUCA
rnacentral:tRNA from 1 species